rnacentral:rRNA from 1 species
UGGGGAAUCUUGGACAAUGGGGGCAACCCUGAUCCAGCCAUGCCGCGUGAGUGAUGAAGGCCUUAGGGUCGUAAAGCUCUUUCGCCUGUGAAGAUAAUGACGGUAGCAGGUAAAGAAACCCCGGCUAACUCCGUGCCAGCAGCCGCGGUAAUACGGAGGGGGUUAGCGUUGUUCGGAAUUACUGGGCGUAAAGCGCACGUAGGCGGACCAGAAAGUUGGGGGUGAAAUCCCGGGGGCUCAACCCCGGAACUGCCUCCAAAACUAUUGGUCUAGAGUUCGAGAGAGGUGAGUGGAAUUCCAAGUGUAGAGGUGAAAUUCGUAGAUAUUUGGAGGAACACCAGUGGCGAAGGCGGCUCACUGGCUCGAUACUGACGCUGAGGUGCGAAAGUGUGGGGAGCAAACAGGAUUAGAUACCCUGGUAGUCCACACCGUAAAACGAUGAAUGCCAGUCGUCGGGUAGCAUGCUAUU